rnacentral:rRNA from 1 species
UGACAAGAAAUAACAAUACGGGGCUUAAAGUCUUGUAAUUGGAAUGAUGGGAAUUUAAACCUCUUCCAGAGUAUCAAUUGGAGGGCAAGUCUGGUGCCAGCAGCCGCGGUAAUUCCAGCUCCAAUAGCGUAUAUUAAAAUUGUUGCAGUUAAAAAGCUCGUAGUUGAAUUUCUGCUGCAUUGCUUGUGUCCCUCUGGGGUCUGUGCAUGUGGCUUUUUUCGGACGGAGUUUCUUUGUCUGAAUGUUUACUUUGAGAAAAUUAGAGUGCUCAAAGCAGGCUUUCGCCUUGAAUAGUUUAGCAUGGAAUAAUAAAGUAGGACUUUGGUUCUAUUUUGUUGGUUUUAGGUACCAAAGUAAUGGUUAAUAGGAACAGUUGGGGGCAUUCGUAUUUAACUGUCAGAGGUGAAAUUCUUAG